rnacentral:snoRNA from 1 species
AGGCUAUGAUGUGAACUCUUUCUCAAUAGAUCUUUGAAUAUCUCCCAAGCUUCAUAAGAGCUCUCUUGAUCAUGGUGAGUAAAAGUCAUUAUCUCAUUGUGAAGCUU